UGCUGUGCGACUGCACGCUCAGGCCCGCUUGACAGUAGCAUAAAUUUUUAUUACGGAGUAUUAUUUUAUUUUCAAUUUUGUUUUGUUUUUUUAUUCAUCCCUCCUUAUUUUUUCUUUUCUAAUCACACUUACAAUAACUCCUCAAUAAAAUAUUUCCCCUCUCAUAAGUUUCCUUAAUUCACUCCAAUACUGCUACUGCGACUCUUCUCCAACUAUACUAUCAGCAGGUGGCGCGAAUGUUUCUACUGGAUUCCAUGAUCAAACUACGAUCAAAACUACUCAAAUGUAGAUUUGCGAUCAUCAAUUCUUGCAAUUCUACACCCUCAACAUCCAAAUCAUACCACACUCGCCGGUGUCCUCCUAGGCCACCUGCCUCAGAGCCGCCGCGAAGGCCGAGCAGGCUCUCUCAGCGCAAGCCAAUACCAUUCAUUGAUGAUCUAAAACAAAUCCAUGCCCCAGAAGAUCUCCUCUCCCUCUUCCAUGAUUACCGGAAAAUGGGCUUCAAGCAUUACUACCCUUCCUACUCUUCCCUCAUCUACAAGCUCGCCAAGUCUCGGAACUUCGAAGCCGUCGAUACCCUUCUUGGUUGCCUUAAAACCUACAAUGUCCACUGCAGAGAGGCCCUUUUCAUUGGGUUGAUUGAGCACUACGGAAAAUGUGGGUUGGUGGAGAAGGCGAUUCAUCUUUUUCGCGAGAUGAAGGAGUAUUUCAACUGUGUCCGCUCAAUACAGUCCUUCAAUAUGCUUCUCAAUGUGUUGGUGGAGAAUGGCAGGCAUUGCGAAGCUUAUGACAUGUUCAAGGGUUCUUCGAAGCUGGGGUUUCGUCCCAACUCGGUUUCUUUUAAUAUCAUGAUUAAAAUGUAUCUGGAGAAGGGCGAACUUGAAAGGGCUCGCGAAGUGUUUGAUGAAAUGCUCGAGAGAGAGGUUGAGCCCACUGCCGUGACGUACAAUUCUCAGAUCGGGUUUUUGUGCAAAAGGGGUGAGUUUGAAAAGGGAAAGAGUUUGUUUGAGGAUAUGGUUAGGAAAGGGACUAAGCCGAAUGAGGUCACCUAUGCUUUGCUGAUGGAAGGUUUGUGUUUUUUGGGGAGGUACAAGGAUGCCAAGAAGUUAAUGUUUGAUAUGGAAUACCAGGGGUGUAAACCCAAGGUUGUUAACUAUGGUGUUUUGGUGAGUGAUCUUGGGAAGAGAGGCAAAAUCGAAGAGGCGAAAAGUUUGCUCGUUGAGAUGAAGAAAAGGCAUAUCAAGCCUGAUGCUGUAAUCUAUAAUAUGCUGAUUAGUUAUUUUUGCAGAGAAGAUAGAGCUGCUGAGGCUUACAGAGUUUUGGUUGAAAUGCAAAUUGCAGGUUGCAAACCAAAUGCCACUACAUACAGGAUGGUGGUUGAUGGGUUCUGUAAAGCAGGAGAAUUUGAAGAAGGUUUGAAGGUUUUCAAUGCAAUGUUGAUGAGUGGCCAUUUCCCACGCACUGAAACACUUCGUUCUCUAGUAAUGGGCUUAUUUGACUGUGGGAAGGUUGAUGAUGCAUACUUUAUUUUAGAGGAAAUGGCAAAGAGGAAGAAGAUGUUCGAUUUUGAGUCAUGGGAAGCCAUAGUCAAGGAUUCCUGCCCUUUGGAUAAAGCAUUAGCAUUCAAUAAUCAUAUAACUGAAAUUGUGUCUUCUAACUAAUGGAAUUGUAGAAUAACAUAACUUUAUCAGGCUCACCACAAGUGAGCCGAUUUACUGGUUGGUUGGCCAAGGUUGUGACUCUUGGCGUUUGGAGCUGAAUGAUUGCUUGAGCAUCUUACCAGCCCACAUUUUCAAAGUUUGAGGUCUUAGAUUUUGUUCUUGCUGAUGGUGACCAAAACACCUAAUUUGGUUUCUGUUCAUUUGUUGUCAUGGUGAUGCACAACAUUGCCUGGAUGGUGUUAAUGCCAGGCAUCCAUGAUGAGUAUGGAACAACAAUGGAAUUCAUUAGGUAGCAGCUGGAAAGAGUUUUAAAAGCCUUCAAAUAUGGCGUUGAUAAGUGAAGAAGGCAAAUUGUGAUGCUUCAUUUUGGAUAUGUUUUUUGGGAUAUGCCUUACUGGGGAUUUUUAUUGACAAGAGGACAACUCCUUAAACUUAUCAGAAUUGACCUGGGAAAACUUUCUAGGAAGGAUUGCCACAACCCAUAAAGGCUUUAAUAUUACUGACUGCGAUUUGGUCCAGGUAUAUAUAUGCAUCUGUCGAGGCAGUAGUGUUCAUCAACUACAUUGUUGCAAAAGAUUUACUGAAGCAUCAGGAAAACCUUAAACGCUCCUCCAUUGAAGAUGUCGAGUUCUAGAAGAGGAACCCGUUUCCCCAGGUGUUGAACCUGAAACCCCUGCCUCGGUUGCCACCCCGGUUUCUGGGGUUACAGCCAGCGGAGCGUCUCCCGCUGGUGCUGGUGCAGCUGCAGCCGCUGGUUCUGGUGG